UACGGAGGGGGCUAGCGUUGCUCGGAAUUACUGGGCGUAAAGCGCACGUAGGCGGCUUUGUAAGGUAGAGGUGAAAGCCCGGAGCUCAACUCCGGAACUGCCUUUAAGACUGCAUCGCUUGAACGUCGGAGAGGUAAGUGGAAUUCCGAGUGUAGAGGUGAAAUUCGUAGAUAUUCGGAAGAACACCAGUGGCGAAGGCGACUUACUGGACGACUGUUGACGCUGAGGUGCGAAAGCGUGGGGAGCAAACAGG
rnacentral:rRNA from 1 species